rnacentral:tRNA from 1 species
UCUAAUAUGGCAGAAUAGUGCUAUAGAUUUAAGACCUAUAUAUAAAGAUAUAUCUUUUAUUAGAA